UACGGGGGGAGCAAGCGUUGUUCGGAUUUACUGGGCGUAAAGGGCGCGUAGGCGGCCACCGCAAGUCGGUUGUGAAAUCUCUGGGCUUAACCCAGAAAGGUCAACCGAUACUGCGGGGCUAGAGUGCAGAAGGGGCAACUGGAAUUCUCGGUGUAGCGGUGAAAUGCGUAGAUAUCGAGAGGAACACCUGCGGCGAAGGCGGGUUGCUGGGCGUGA
rnacentral:rRNA from 1 species